rnacentral:rRNA from 1 species
UACGAAGGGGGCUAGCGUUGCUCGGAAUCACUGGGCGUAAAGGGUGCGUAGGCGGGUCUUUAAGUCAGGGGUGAAAUCCUGGAGCUCAACUCCAGAACUGCCUUUGAUACUGAGGAUCUUGAGUACGGGAGAGGUGAGUGGAACUGCGAGUGUAGAGGUGAAAAUUCGUAGAUAUUCGCAAGAACACCAGUGGCGAAGGCGGCUCACUGGCCCGUAACUGACGCUGAGGCACGAAAGCGUGGGGAGCAAACAGGG